AAAGUGUGAGUUCGAGUUGAUUUUGGAGCCGGUUCGAGGUAACUGGCUUAUCUAACCUUGUAUGGGGGACUUUCCUUUUGGAUAUGAUAUUUGGAAAUUGAAUGCCAUGUACGUGAGGUGACGAGAAUGUACUUGAGUUAAUUGUUGGAAAUUCAGUUUUACUUAAAUAUUUAGAUUGAGUUUCUUUCUUACCUGUUUAUUUCUAAUUGCAAUUAUAGCAUGUGCUAGUUUAGAAAAAGCAUGUUUAGUUGAUCUAAAUUACCUAUUUGCUUAAGCUAUCUUGUUUGUACUACGUGAAGCAUGUUAGGCUAGAAUUACAUGUUCUCUUGUAUUUAUUUGAACUUCAUUGUUGAAUAUCUUCUUGUUGUGGCAGCGAUAUUUACAUUGAGACUACGGAUGUGGGAUUCUGGUAGCUACCCCCCUGUCUGUUUACUUUGGGACUACAGGUUAGAUUCCCGGCAGACCCCCCUGCACAUUUACUUUGGGACUACGGGUUAGAUUCUCGGUAGAUUUCCCUGCAUGUUUACUUUGGGAUUGCAGGUUUGAUUCCCUAUAGAUUCCCCUGCACAUUGAUAGAUUGACUACGGGACGAUAUCCUGGGAGAUCCUUGGGACAGUUGAUGAAAAGGACUACAAGAUGGUAUCCUAGGAGAUCCUCAUUAUUUGUACUAGUAUUGACCUGUUUACUACGUACUACCUUAUUUUCUGCGUGUUAUUUUUUGCCUUGUAUAACCUGUCUUACUUUAUAGUUGUACUAAUUAUUCCUGUUUAUUUCCUAUUGUUGCAUGAUUUAUUAUUAUGUUUAUUCUCAGUAGGGCCCUAACCUUCCUCGUCACUACUGAUCGAGGUUAGGCUUGGCACUUACUGAGUACCGUUGUGGUGUAAUCAUGCCCCCUUCUACACAUGUUUUUCAAGUGCAGAUUCAGGUACCUCUGCCCAGGCGUGUUAUUCUCGAGGCAGAAUACAUCUAGCAGAAACUUCGAGGUACAUCUAUCGUGCCCGCAGACCAGGAGUCACUAUGUUAUUCUAGCUUUAGCAGUUAGCUUUCCUUUUGUACUGUUAUUUUAGGCAUUCUGGAGUUAGAGAUGUGUAUUAUAUUCUGUUAGCUUGUUUUUCCGUGAGUUCCCGAAUUUUGGAAUUGUAUUGCAGUAGUUGAACUAUUGUACUGUACGUGCCGAUUGACAUUUUACAUUCCGCGUUUCUUUUGGAUAAAUUUGGG
rnacentral:lncRNA from 1 species